CCUACGGGAGGCAGCAGUGAGGAAUAUUGGUCAAUGGGCGGGAGCCUGAACCAGCCAAGUAGCGUGAAGGAAGACGGCCCUACGGGUUGUAAACCGCUUUUAUAGGGGAGUAACGCGCGCUACGUGUGGGGUUUCGAGAGUACCGGAUGAAUAAGCACCGGCUAAUUCCGUGCCAGCAGCCGCGGUAAUACGGAGGGUACGGGCGUUAUCCGGAUUUAUUGGGUUAAAGGGGUGCGCAGGCGGAAGGUCAAGCGAGCGGUAAAAUUCAGGGGCCCACCCGCUGCGUGCCGGUGAAACUGGCGUGCUUGAGUCAGCGGAAAGCAUGCGGAAUGCGUGGUGUAGCGGUGAAAUGCUUAGAUAUCACGCAGAACCCCGAUUGCGAAGGCAGCUUGCCGCAGCGGAACUGACGCUGAUGCUCGAAAGUGUGGGUAUCGAACAGGAUUAGAUACCCCAGUAGUC
rnacentral:rRNA from 1 species